GUAGAUAUAGUUUAACAAAAACGUUAGAUUGUGAUUCUAAAAAUAGAAGAUAAAACCCUCUUAUUCACC
rnacentral:tRNA from 1 species